rnacentral:rRNA from 1 species
CUCCCCCUAGGCGACGAUUCCUUAGCUUGUUUGAGAGGAUGACCCAGCCCCCCUGGAACUGAGACACCGUUCCAGACUCCUACGGGAGGCAGCAGUGGGGGAAUAUUGCACAAUGGGCGCAAGCCUGAUGCAGCCAUGCCGCGUGUAUGAAGAAGGCCUUCGGGUUGUAAAGUACUUUCAGUGGGGAGGAAGGCAGUGAAGUUAAUAGCUUCGCUGAUUGACGUUACCCGCAGAAGAAGCACCGGCUAACUCCGUGCCAGCAGCCGCGGUAAUACGGAGGGUGCAAGCGUUAAUCGGAAUUACUGGGCGUAAAGCGCACGCAGGCGGUCUGUCAAGUCGGAUGUGAAAUCCCCGGGCUCAACCUGGGAACUGCAUUCGAAACUGGCAGACUAGAGUCUUGUAGAGGGGGGUAGAAUUCCAGGUGUAGCGGUGAAAUGCGUAGAGAUCUGGAGGAAUACCGGUGGCGAAGGCGGCCCCCUGGACAAAGACUGACGCUCAGGUGCGAAAGCGUGGGGAGCAGACAGGAUUAGAUACCCUGGUAGUCCACGCCGUAAACGAUGUCGACUUGGAGGUUGUGCCCUUGAGGCGUGGCUUCCGGAGCUAACGCGUUAAGUCGACCGCCUGGGAGACGCCGC